rnacentral:rRNA from 1 species
UACAUGGGGUGCAAACGUUGCUCGGAAUCAUUGGGCGUAAAGCGCGCGUAGGCGGUUACUUAAGUUGGAUGUGAAAGCCCUCGGCUUAACUGAGGAAGUGCAUCCAAAACUGAGUAGCUAGAGUACGAAAGAGGGUCGUGGAAUUCCCAGUGUAGAGGUGAAAUUCGUAGAUAUUGGGAAGAACACCGGUGGCGAAGGCGGCGACCUGGUUCAUUACUGACGCUGAGGCGCGAAAGCGUGGGGAGCAAACAGG